rnacentral:tRNA from 1 species
GCGCUCUUAGUUCAGUUCAGUAAAACGUGGGUCUCCAAAGCCCGAUGUCGUAGGUUCAAAUCGUACAGAGCGUG